AAUUUAAAUAGUUUAAUAAAUAAAAUUUUGAUUUGUGGCAUCAAAGAUAUAUAAUAUAUUUUAAAUC
rnacentral:tRNA from 1 species